GAGUUUGAUCGUGGCUCAGGAUGAACGCUGGCGGCGUGCCUAAUACAUGCAAGUCGAACGAACAGAUAAGGAGCUUGCUCCUUUGACGUUAGCGGCGGACGGGUGAGUAACACGUGGGUAACCUACCUAUAAGACUGGGAAUAACUCCGGGAAACCUGGGCUAAUGCCGGAUAACAUGUUGAACCGCAUGGUUCUACAGUGAAAGACGGUCUUGCUGUCACUUAUAGAUGGACCCGCGCCGUAUUAGCUAGUUGGUGGGGUAACGGCCUACCAAGGCGACGAUACGUAGCCGACCUGAGAGGGUGAUCGGCCACACUGGAACUGAGACACGGUCCAGACUCCUACGGGAGGCAGCAGUAGGGAAUCUUCCGCAAUGGGCGAAAGCCUGACGGAGCAACGCCGCGUGAGUGAUGAAGGUCUUCGGAUCGUAAAGCUCUGUUGUUAGGAAGAACAAAUGUGUAAGUAACUGUGCAUAUCUUGACGGUACCUAACCAGAAGCCACGGCUAACUACGUGCCAGCCGCCGCAA
rnacentral:rRNA from 1 species